rnacentral:rRNA from 1 species
AUUGAACGCUGGCGGCAGGCCUAACACAUGCAAGUCGAACGGUAACAGGAAACUGCUUGCUGUUUCGCUGACGAGUGGCGGACGGGCGAGUAAUGUCUGGGAAACUGCCUGAUGGAGGGGGAUAACUACUGGAAACGGUAGCUAAUACCGCAUAACGUCGCAAGCCCAAAGAGGGGGACCCUCGGGCCUCUUGCCAUCGGAUGUGAUCAGAUGGGAUUAGCUUGUUGGUGGGGUAACGGCUCACCAAGGCGACGAUCCCUAGCUGGUCUGAGAGGAUGACCAGCCCCACUGGAACUGAGACACGGUCCAGACUCCGACGGGAGGCAGCAGUGGGGAAUAUUGCACAAUGGGCGCAAGCCUGAUGCAGCCAUGCCGCGUGUAUGAAGAAGGCCUUCGGGUUGUAAAGUACUUUCAGCGGGGAGGAAGGGAGUAAAGUUAAUACCUUGGCUCAUUGACGUUACCCGCAGAAGAAGCACCGGCUAACUCCGUG